AUGUCAUCUUACCAGUGUCCCCGUCACCGUGCUCGGCACCCGCCUCUACGGUUAGCUGACAAAGCCUCCGUACAGCUUUCUAGAGUUAAAUCUGGAAAGCCAGAGCCUAGCUCUGAUUACAAGCCCUCCCCGUGCGAAUAUCAGCACCCGCAACAGCCACAUCAUCCCAGGGGAGGAUGGCGCUGUUGGCCUCGCCAUAUUGUUGUACCCUACCAUCGAAAUGUGGAACCGCAACAUCGAUUCUCACGGUGUUGCGACAUGGGUGCUGCGCAAGACCGUUGUCAUGGACAACUUCGUUGA
rnacentral:rRNA from 1 species